rnacentral:rRNA from 1 species
GCCAGCGGAUGAGAUAGCACGUUCAAUGCACCAGUUUCCAAUAGAUCACCGAAGUUAAGUAACGUUUCGCGUGGUACCUGGAUGGGUGACCAUCCGGGCAAUCGCGUGAUGCUGGCU